UGUCCCUUCGGAAAAAACACAGUCCGGUCGGUAGUCCGGGCACAGGCGGCUGUCCCGCCUGUCAGUAACCUGCCUCCUAAGGUUGUCCCUCCGAAUGGAAUUUUUU
rfam:Clostridium sp. CAG:169 genomic scaffold, scf83